CACAGGUUCAAUUUGAUUAGGAAUCAUGAAGAACCUUUCAAGCCUAGCUAUCUAUUUAUUUGUCCUUCUCAUUGUUCUCUGCACCAACACAAGAGGAGUCCAUCUUGAAGCUUCAAAAGAAUGUAAUUAUCCACUUCCAGGAGCUGUCAAACCUUGUGAUCCAGAAAAAUGCAAUACCCAAUGUUUUGACAAGUACCAAGGUAAGCCUGAUCCUCCUGGUAUUACAGGAACAUUUCUUGGAGGAACUUGUUUCGGUGACGAUUGUAAUUGCACCUUUUAUUGUUAAGAUGUACUAUCCUUGAUCUAUGUUCAAAAGUCAUCUUACUUAAUACUUGUAGAGAGAAUCAA